GCCCCGGUGCAGUGGUCGGCGUCGGCCGCUUGGUGGCGGUAGUGGCCCAGACUGGGACAGAGAAGCCGGAGCGCUUGGCUCAAAUUUACCGUCGGCUACUUUACGACCUCCACCCUCAGCCAGAAUAAACAGCCCAUGUCACUCUAGAUACUAACAACAGUUAAAGGCAGCUUAAAAACGGAGACUUGGGCGAUAAAUUAACUAAUAAAACUAAACUGGAGGUAGCGUAUGGAGGGAAUCUGUUAUUCGCUGUUAAAUAUAGGUAUGUCUAAAGUAAUUGCAAGGACAAGUGGGAAGUCGGCUGUUCACUGCAGCCUUUAGGUGUUGGGGCUUUGUUCCCCGGCAGGAAGUGAAUUUCUUGUGCCCUUCUUUCUGUUUUCAAGUCGGGCGCUAAAUGCCGCUGCUCGUCUGUCCUGUGCAGACGUAGCCGCUGAAAACAAUUUCUGGACAGACUCGAGGACGAAGAAAACAGACAUUUCCUGUCUGCGAGCAGCGGGUCCUCUUGGAGCGAGGCUGCCUCCCCGCCCCGCGCUCCAUUUUGUGUGCUUUGUGAGAGCAGCCCAGGUCCUCUCGUUGUCCGCCACAUGAGGGAUAUUGGACUAUUUUGAUGCAGCUCGUGGUCGGCUGCACGAGGGAGUCCAGAUCUUCGCUGCAUGAGCUGGAUUCAAAACGUAGAAACGAACAUUAGAAAUGGAGCCUGAAACAGCAAAAAAACCCCACAUGAUUUUUUGUCAGCAGGUCUCCUCACUUGUUGUAGAGCAUAUUUUACAUUUUACUGAAUGGAACCAAUCAAUUAAAUUUCUCUCCUCCUUCAGUGGACAAUUUAUUCAUUGUAAAAAUGUCGGAUUAUUCUCUCUUCUUUUCACUCAUUUUAUCAUUUGACAAAUCCCUAUGUGUUGUUGUAAAAACAAUCCGCUUUGAUCAUUGAAAUUCAGCUACACGAAGCCUAACUUUUUCAGGGAUAAUGAAGUCUCACCAGGCUAAUUUUCAUGUAGAAAUGAGUCUAGUUGUAAAACUUUUUUUUUAUUUCAAGGGCCAAACAUUGCAUUUUUUGUCCUGUAGCGCUGUUGAAAACACAAAAUAAAAUGUCU